rnacentral:tRNA from 1 species
AGGGUAAUAGUUAAAUAUAACAUUUAAUUUGCAAUUAAAAAGUAUCUUAUUGAUUUACCUUA